rnacentral:rRNA from 1 species
AGCCUGCCGAUUCCUCCUUCUUGUAGAACCGUAAUGCCAUUAAUUUGGUGUUGCGGGGAAACAGGACUGUUACUUUGAAAAAAUUAGAGUGUUUAAAGCAGGCUAGCGCCUGAAUACAUUAGCAUGGAAUAAUGAAAUAGGACGUUCGAACCUAUUUUGUUGGUUUCUAGGAUCGACGUAAUGAUUAAUAGGGAUAGUUGGGGGCAUUAGUAUUCAAUUGUCAGAGGUGAAAUUCUUGGAUUUAUUGAAGACUAACUACUGCGAAAGCAUUUGCCAAGGAUGUUUUCAUUAAUCAAGAACGAAAGUUAGGGGAUCGAAGACGAUCAGAUACCGUCGUAGUCUUAACCAUAAACUAUGCCGACUAGGGAUCGGAUGAUGUUAUUUUUAAUGACUCAUUCGGCGCCUUACG